rnacentral:rRNA from 1 species
GAUGAACGCUGGCGGCGUGCCUAAUACAUGCAAGUCGAGCGCACGGACUUGAUGCUUGUUCCACUGAUAUUAGCAGCGGACGGGUGAGUAACACGUGGGUAACCUACCUAUAAGCCUGGGAUAACUUCGGGAAACCGGAGCUAAUACCGCAUAAUAUUUUUAACCACAUGGUUCAAAAGUAAAAGACGCUCUUGCAGUCCCUUAUAGAUAGCUCCGCGCUUCUUUAGCUAGUUGGGAAGGUAACGGCCUACAAAGGCAACGAAGCAUACCCGACCUGAAGGGGGGUACGGCCACACGGGAACGGAGACCAGGUCCAGACUCCUACGGAAGGAGCAAGUAGGGAAUCUUCCGCAAUGGGGGAAAGCUUGACGGGGAAAGGCCGCGGAAUGGAGGAAGGUCUUCGGAUCGAAAAACUCGGUUAUAAAGGAAAAACAUAGGGGGAAGGAACGGUGCACAAAUUGACGGUAACUAAUCAGAAAGCCACGGCUAACUACGUG